rnacentral:rRNA from 1 species
GUGGGAAUCCUCCAGGCCGAAUAUCCAAGGUUUCCAGAGUAAAGCUGAUCUGCUCUGGGUAAGUCGGGGCCUAAGGUAAGGCUGAGAAGCGUAGCCGAUGGACAACAGGUUGAGAUUCCUGUACCGCGUAUCAUCAGAACUGUGGGGACACAGAAGGACAGCACAUCCCGGGAAUGGAAAGACCGGGGCAAGCAGGGUAGGAGUUAAGCUGGCAAAUCCGCUUAACAAUCCGAAGCUGUGAUGCGGAGCGAAUUUAAGUAGCGAAGUGUGCGAUUCCGGCUGUCAAGAAAAGCCGCUAUUGUGUGAUACGUGCCCGUACCGUAAACCGACACAGGUAGAUGAGGAGAGAAUCCUAAGGCCGGCGGGAGAAGCAUUGUUAAGGAACUCGGCAAAAUGACCCUGUAACUUCGGGAGAAAGGGUGCCUGGGAAACCAGGCCGCAGAGAAUAGGCUCAAGCAACUGUUUAGCAAAAACACAGGUCUAUGCAAAAACCGUAAGGUGAGGUAUAUGGGCUGACGCCUGCCCGGUGCUGGAAGGUUAAGAGGAGGGGUUAGCGCAAGCGAAGCUCUGAAUUGAAGCCCCAGUAAACGGCGGCCGUAACAAUAACGGUCCUAAGGUAGCGAAAUUCCUUGUCGGGUAAGUUCCGACCCGCACGAAAGGCGUAAUGAUUUGAGCGCUGUCUCGACAAUGCACCCGGUGAAAUUGAAGUACCAGUGAAGAUGCUGGUUACCCGCGCCAGGACGGAAAGACCCCAUGGAGCUUUACUCCAGCUUGAUACUGGGAUUCGGUACUGCAUGUACAGGAUAGGUGGGAGACUGAGAACUAUGAACGCCAGUUUGUAGGGAGUCGCUGUUGGGAUACCACCCUUGCGGUAUUGGAUUUCUAACCUGCAGCCGUGAACCGGCUGGGGGACAAUGUCAGGCGGGGAGUUUGACUGGGGCGGUCGCCUCCGAAAGGGUAUCGGAGGCGCUCAAAGGUUCCCUCAUAAUGGUUGGAAACCAUUAGAAGAGUGCAAAGGCAUAAGGGAGCUUGACUGCGACACCGACGGGUGGAGCAGGUAGGAAACUAGGACUUAGUGAUCCGGUGGUAUGAAAGUGGGAUUGCCAUCGCUCAACGGAUAAAAGCUACCCUGGGGAUAACAGGCUUAUCACUCCCAAGAGUUCACAUCGACGGAGUGGUUUGGCACCUCGAUGUCGGCUCAUCGCAUCCUGGGGCUGUAGCAGGUCCCAAGGGUUGGGCUGUUCGCCCAUUAAAGCGGUACGCGAGCUGGGUUCAGAACGUCGUGAGACAGUUCGGUCCCUAUCCGGCGCGGGCGUAAGAUAUUUGAGAGGAGCUGUCCUUAGUACGAGAGGACCGGGAUGGACGGGCCGCUGGUGUACCUGUUGGAGUGCCAACUCCAUGGCAGGGUAGCCAAGCCCGGACGGGAUAAACGCUGAAGGCAUCUAAGCGUGAAGCCCCCCUCAAGAUGAGAUAUCUCAUACGCAAGUAGUAAGACCCCUUGAAGACGACGAGGUAGAUAGGUCAGAGGUGGAAGUGUGGUAACGCAUGGAGCUGACUGAUACUAAUCGGUCGAGGGCUUGGCC